UGCGUAGGUGGCGCGCUAAGUCGGGUGUGAAAUCCCGGGGCUUAACCUCGGGACUGCAUUCGAUACUGGCGUGCUUGAGGACUGGAGAGGAGACUGGAAUUCAUGGUGUAGCAGUGAAAUGCGUAGAGAUCAUGAGGAAGACCAGUGGCGAAGGCGGGUCUCUGGACAGUUCCUGACACUGAGGCACCAAGGGGCCAGGGGAGGCAAACG
rnacentral:rRNA from 1 species